UCCUACUAUCUCAAGAUUGUAAGCCACUUCAGUGUCCAUCACUAGAGAAGACAGUGAAUCAAACUCUGCCAAUGAGAAGCACCUGUCCUAGACUCUGAAACAACAGAAAGCUGCACAGAAAGCAGAGACAGUGGAUAAUUCUUCAGGAAUGAAGCCAAAGAGCAAGAAAGCUUAAAUAACAAUCCAAAGGAGAAGAGGGGGAUUUUGGGGAGGCCCUCCUUUCAACCAUUACUUGGAAGAGAAAAACAAGUGAGCAAAGAGGAGGAGGCCAUAAUUGCCCUACCUUGAUAAUCUCUGUUAAUAUAUUCAGCAGCAGAUGGGUAAGAUUAGAAAUUGUCAAUCCAUUUGGAAAGGUACAAAUAAAAAGUGAAAGCCUCCCUUCCACAGGAAUGCCAUCCUGAAAAAAAUGAAAAAGCUUUAAUUUACAUGUAUUUAUAUGGGACCACACUAUAUGCACUAUAACGUACCACGCUUUUUUCACAUACUGUAAUUUGGAAUUCUUUCCACAUUAGCAUUUAAAUCUCCUUCACAGCAGAUAAGUUGUAUAGCACUGUACUGAGUGAACAGACAAUAAUUUAUUUGUUCAGUACUUUACUGAUGGACACUGAUUGUUUCCAGUUUCUCUUUCUCUAGCUCCCUCACUCUU